rfam:Rattus norvegicus chromosome 8, whole genome shotgun sequence.
UGGCUCAGUGGUUAAGAGCACUGGUUGCUCUUCCAGAGGACCUGGAUUCAAUUUCCAG